UACGUAGGGUGCAAGCGUUAAUCGGAAUUACUGGGCGUAAAGGGCGCGUAGGCGGUUCGUACAGUCAGACGUGAAAUUCCUGGGCUCAACCUGGGGGCUGCGUUUGAUACGUGCGGGCUUGAGUUCGGAAGAGGGUCGUGGAAUUCCCAGUGUAGAGGUGAAAUUCGUAGAUAUUGGGAAGAGCACCGGUGGCGAAGGCGGCGACCUGGUCCGAUACUGACGCUGAGGCGCGAAAGCGUGGGGAGCAAACAGG
rnacentral:rRNA from 1 species